UCCCUCACGCGACCUUCCCCUUGCGCCGACUGAGCCCUAACCGCACGGCGGUUUCCUCCACCUUCUCCUUCAUUUUCUUCCUCCCGAGCCGCACACCCGAAGCUUUCUCCUCUUCUCCUCUCCUCUGCCGCCACCACAGCGACGCCGUGCCCUAAUUGGGUUGUGCCGCCGCCGAGAUUGCUUCGCCGCCACCGACCUAGUGCAGCCGCCGGCGACGCACGGAGCAGUGCCUCACACCCUGGUGCCCUAGCAUCUCCGCCGACGCCACUGACUCCUCUCGGCUGCUUCUCUGUGCCGGCCACCGUUUUCCUCUGCCGGCGCCGAUCCUCACCCUUGUGCCCUAGCCGACACCUCUCUGAUUCUCACUGUGCCCUAGGUUCUUCGCCGACACGGUUCUGCUCGGGUUGUUUCCGGCCUGGAGCAAGGAGGAUUUAAGUUAUAGCUUUUCCCUCUCUGCCACAUCUCGGCAUAGCGCCGCCGACCGCACCAGUACAUCUUCACUGUCGCCGGCCAUCAGGUACAGCCGAGCCUUAGUUGGUUUUGGAGUUGGUGGAUUUCUUCUCUCUGUGUUGCUGCUGUGCCCUAGUUCACCACUACAGGUGCCGCUCUGUUCUUUACAGCAGAGUGGUGAUCUUAGAGGUAAGGGGAAUAGGGAGGACUUGCUGUGGUUUUCUUGGUUACGGCAGAAAUUCCAACUAGUAGCACUCUUGUUCCAGCAAUCAACAGGGCUGUGACUUCAAGGACUUUGACGCGAGACGAGUAUCUCAGAGUCAGAUUUGGAUCAUUUUAUCGGAGGCGG